AUAGUUUACCUGACAGGGGAGAUACUGUGAGCAGAGAAAUGGUAUUUCCAGGAUAAGACUCCUCUAUUGCAUGUGAGAUGUGCUGGUCCAUGUGAAGGAAAAGGGAAAUGGAAGUACAUAAUUUGUGGUGGUGGGGACUAUGUUCACUAUCUCCUUU
rnacentral:snRNA from 14 species